rnacentral:lncRNA from 1 species
GCAAUUAAUGAUUUUCGUGAUGGCUGGGGGGAGCGGGAAAUCAAAACAACAAAAUCCAAUAUGGCGGCGAAAUUUAGAUAAGUAUUUCUAACAAAUGUGGACGAAUUUAACUGAAUUUUGGCACAAGAGUGAGUUUAAGAAACAUUGUAUGGCAAAAAGAGCCUGUGGAAAAUACCUGGAAACAAUCUUAAGAAAUAAUCUUGGCGGGAUGCAGCGAAACGUGACUAUGUAAGUUUGAAAUAGAAUUUAUGAAGAUU